AAUUUACAAAGCUCCAGUUGGUCAAUACAGCCUUGAUUCCAUGUUUUCUACCACUGCUUAACUUUAUUUGAGAAACUGUUGUUGUUAUGUAUGCAGGAUAGAGUAUAGAGUUGUAUGCAGGAUAUAGUACUAGCGUUGGAAUUUCAGGGCAUCCAAAAAGAACUUAGGACUAAAUUACUAGCUUAAUGCAUGGAACUUAUUGAGCUGCAGUCAUGGCAUGUGCUUACAUAGAGACCUUCGUUCUGUGGAUAUACCUCUUCUUAUAGGACAGCAUGUGCGUGAUGCAUUGCUCCCCUUAGUUUUCGGAGGAACAUGGUGCUAUUCCUGGUGCUUUUGGUUAUGAAAAAACUGACAUUAGUCAGGAACUUUCUAAGGUGAUCACUUUACUGCUCUGUUCUCAUCGUACCAUUUCUACACAGUUUACUGAGUUUAAAAAUCCAUGCAAUACUCUAAUUCUGAAGCUUUGGUUUAUGUGAGAUGUGGCUGAAAGAAGAAAUGAGAUAGCCGA